UCCCGUCUCUCCUCAAGAAACCCCGUCUCGUUUCGGCCCCCUGUUUCUUGCCCUCUUCCUGCCUGAAAUUUCUAUUACGCGGGCACGCAUUACAGCGCUCCCUCUCGCUCCACUUGAUGCGUGCUGACCCUGUCUCCUUUUGUUUAAAACUUUUCUGUAAAAUGUUUUAGUAAAUUUUCGGUCAAAAGUUAUGUUCAAAAUAUUUGCCUCCGAUGCUGAGCGCUGCAAAUGCUCUGUGCAGCUAGAGAUGGACCUUGCGUCCCCGCCCAGUUUGCUUCGACAAUUGGUACCACUGCAUCCGAUGGCGCUAAUGGGGAAAGGAUGUGUCAAGAAGUACUGUGGCAGCAUCAGAAUCGGUGAUGGGAGGUUGUACUGCUCCAUGGAAUGCAAAGGUCCAGUGGCAAGGAGGCAGCAGUCGUCCCUGCAACUAGUUCGUUAAGGCUCUACUCGCCCAGGAAUUCACCACGGGACAUCAGAGGGACGCCUUCUGCAUCAGCUGCCGCGUUGCGUUCUGUACUGCCCUGCACACGGAUCAUGCGAGUCACCCGUCCGUCGAGAUCAUUUUGAAUGGUGGCCGGUUCGUUGCGCGCGUCCCUGCCAUGGAGGAGUGGCUCGGCAACUUCGCUUUUGUUCCGGAUGAUGGAGAAGGCUACCGAUUGCUGCCCUUGACUACGCCUCCGCCUCCGUCUCCGAACGGUUGUCAAUGUGGCAAUGUGAUCGGCGGGUAUCUGUGGUACUGCUCACUUCUAUGCAUGGUUAGGGAACGGCGAGCGUGCCCGCCCAAUCGCCUCUUCGACGAACCGCCACUCUUGAUGACUCGGCUGAAAAGGGACGUCUGGCGCAUCCUCAGAAUCGCCAACUCGAGAGACCAUCAUGCCUGAUGACUCGACUAGAGAGGCUACAGAUGCCUUAGCUUUGCCUGGUCCAUGUGUAACUCCUCCAUCGGCUCUACCUGCCGGACCAAGAACGAAGAAGGUGACCACAAAAAGGCUAAUGUCAAGCAUCAUUUCGCACUUCCCAAUUUA